rnacentral:misc_RNA from 1 species
UCUCCGUAGGUGAACCUGCGGAGGGAUCAUUACAGAGUUCAUGCCCUACCGGGUAGAUCUCCCACCCUAUGUUAUUAUUACUUUGUUGCUUUGGCGGGCCGUUAGGCUCCGGCCCGACUACCGGCCCCGGCUGGUAAGCGCCCGCCAGAGGACCCAAAACCCUGAAUAUUAGUGUCGUCUGAGUACUAUAUAAUAGUUAAAACUUUCAACAACGGAUCUCUUGGUUCUGGCAUCGAUGAGAACGCAGC